AUUGAACGCAGGCGGCAGGCCUAACACAUGCAAGUCGAGCGGAUGAGAAGAGCUUGCUCUUCGAUUCAGCGGCGGACGGGUGAGUAAUGCCUAGGAAUCUGCCUGGUAGUGGGGGACAACGUUUCGAAAGGAACGCUAAUACCGCAUACGUCCUACGGGAGAAAGCAGGGGACCUUCGGGCCUUGCGCUAUCAGAUGAGCCUAGGUCGGAUUAGCUAGUUGGUGAGGUAAUGGCUCACCAAGGCGACGAUCCGUAACUGGUCUGAGAGGAUGAUCAGUCACACUGGAACUGAGACACGGUCCAGACUCCUACGGGAGGCAGCAGUGGGGAAUAUUGGACAACGGGCGAAAGCCUGAUCCAGCCAUGCCGCGUGUGUGAAGAAGGUCUUCGGAUUGUAAAGCACUUUAAGUUGGGAGGAAGGGCAGUAAGUUAAUACCUUGCUGUUUUGACGUUACCGACAGAAUAAGCACCGGCUAACUCUGUGCCAGCCGCCGCCGUAAGAC
rnacentral:rRNA from 1 species